GGCUUCCCCAUCUAGCACAGGCCUGCCAGCCUUUCCUUAGCAGCCCCUCCCUGCACCGUCUUGCAGCCUGCAGCAGAAACCACGGACGCAGAGCGAAGUGUGAAGAAGCCAGCUGUCCAGAAGAAGAAGUCUGGCGACGCAUCCUCCCUCCCAGACGCAGGGCUGUCCCCGGGCUCUCAGGUCGACUCUAAAUCCACGUUUAAGAGGCUUUUUCUGCAUAAAACCAAGGAUAAAAAAUACAGCCUGGAGAGCGCGGAGGAGCUGGAGAAUGCAAUGUCCGGGCAGGUGGUGCUGGAAGCCACCAGCAUGAAGAAGGGCCUGGAAGCCCCCUCCGGACAGCAGCACCGCCACGCCGCAGGUGAGAAGCGCACCAAGGAACCAGGAGGCAAAGGGAAGAAGAACCGAAACGUCAAGAUUGGGAAGAUCACGGUGUCGGAGAAGUGGCGGGAAUCGGUGUUCCGCCAGAUCACCAACGCCAACGAGCUCAAGUACCUGGACGAGUUCCUGCUUAACAAGAUAAAUGACCUCUGUUCCCAGAAGACGCCCAUCGAGAGCUUGUUUAUCGAAGCCACGGAGAAGUUCAGGAGCAACAUCAAAACGAUGUACUCCGUCCCGAACGGGAAGAUCCACGUGGGCUACAAGGAUCUGAUGGAGAACUACCAGAUCGUCGUCAGCAACCUGGCCACUGAGCGUGGCCAGAAGGACACCAACCUGGUCCUCAACCUCUUCCAGUCACUGCUAGAUGAGUUCACCCGUGGCUACACCAAGAACGACUUCGAGCCAGUGAAGAGCAAAGCUCAGAAGAAGAAGCGGAAGCAGGAGCGCGCUAGCUGCCGGAGAAGCAGGAGCAGCUGGCUGCCAUCUAUGCCGUCCUGGAGCACCUUCCAGAAGCCAACCACAACUCCCUGGAGAGACUCAUCUUCCACCUCGUCAAGCAAGUGCCUCCCCACCUGCCCUCUGUGGGGUUAGGGUCGCAUU
rnacentral:sRNA from 1 species